GCCUCUGUGGAUUAGCGGUAGAUCGCCUCAGAUUUAUAGGUGCAUUGGCAAACAUUUAUGGGGAGGUGUGGGUUCGAAUCCCACCAGAGGCA